rnacentral:rRNA from 1 species
UACGGAAGGCAGCAAUGGGGAAUAUUGCACAAUGGGCGAAAGCCUGAUGCAGCUAUGCCGCGUGUAUGAAGAAGGCCUUAGGGUUGUAAAGUACUUUCAUCGGGGAGGAAAAACAAAACUAAUAAUUUUAUUUCUUGACGUUACCCGAAAAAGAAGCACCGGCUAACUCCGUGCCAGCAGCCGCGGUAAUACGGAGGGUGCUAGCGUUAAUCAGAAUUACUGGGCGUAAAGAGCACGUAGGUGGUUUUUUUAAAGUCAGAUGUGAAAUCCCUGGGCUUAACCUAGGAACUGCAUUUUGAAACUGAAAUACUAGAGUAUCGUAGAGGGAGGUAGAAUUCUAGGUGUAGCGGUGAAAUGCGUAGAUAUCUGGAGGAAUACCUGUGGCGAAAGCGGCCUCCUAAACGAAUACUGACACUGAGUGCGAAAGCGUGGGGAGCAAACAGGGAUUAGAUACCCGU